rnacentral:rRNA from 1 species
GACGGAGGGUGCUAGCGUUGUUCGGAAUCACUGGGCGUAAAGGGCGCGUAGGCGGCCCUGGCAGUCGGCUUGUGAAAGCCCGGGGCUCAACCCCGGAGGUGCGGCCGAAACACCAGGGCUGGAGGCCGGAAGAGGAGGGUGGAAUACCCAGUGUAGAGGUGAAAUUCGUAGAUAUUGGGUGGAACACCGGUGGCGAAAGCGGCUCUCUGGUCCGGACCUGACGCUGAGGCGCGAAAGCGUGGGGAGCAAACAGGAUUAGAUACCCUGGUAGUCCACGCCCUAAACGAUGUGGGCUAGACGUCGGGGGGCUUGCCCCUCGGUGUCGCAGCGAACGCGUUAAGCCCACCGCCUGGGGAGUACGGCCGCAAGGUUAAA